rnacentral:SRP_RNA from 1 species
GCUGGGCGUGGUGGCGUGCGCCUGUAACCGAGCUACUACGGAGCAGUUAGUGUCGAAUGACUUGAGGUCGGGACUCCUGUCGUACGUCGACCUAUGUCGAUCGGGUGUCCACACUAAGUUGGGCGUCAAUAUGGUGAACCUAGGGGAACCUUCGUCCACCAGGUUGAAUAAAGAGGAACGUACCGGUCCAGGAUGAAAACAUAGCAGACAAAAGUUCCCGCGUCAAACAGUAGUGGGAUAGCACUUGUGAAUAGGAGGCGUGCGACAGCCCGGCCAAGAUAGUUGAACCCCCUA